CUUCUACUUUAGAUUCUGUUUAUGCACUAAGGCGAAGGGAGCUUAGACAAUCGAUCAAUUACUUUUAUAACCAGGCAGGAUCGCCUGUGAAUGUUGGUGAACAGAUGUUCUUGACUGUGCUUAAUGUGAUUACAAGCAUGUUAUGGGGUGGCACAGUGAAGGGUGAGGAAAGAGCUAGCCUUGGAGCUGAAUUUAGGCAUGUUGUGACUGAGAUAGCUGCACUGUGCAGUAUUCCCAAUCUUUCCGAUUUUUACCCGGGCUUGGCCUGGUUUGAUUUCCAGGGUAUUACAAAGAAGAUGAAGGUGUUGGCAAAGAGAUUUGAUGAGAUAUUUGAGAGCAUAAUUGAUCAAAAACAAAAAUUGGACAGAAAUGGUGUUGGCCAAGAAAGCAAAGACUUUUUGCAAGUUUUGCUGAAGUUGAAAGAUGAAGCAGAUGUCAAAAUACCUCUAACCAUGACUGAAAUCAAAGCCUUACUUAUGGUAUGUUUAUCAGUUGUGCAUUCUACUAAAUUUGCUUUUUCCAAAAAGAAAUCUUCCUCUCCCCAGUUAUCACUGCAUUAUUAUUGAGUAACCAAGAUUGCAUUUGUCAUCAACCAUUCAUACCUUAAUUUUUUUGGAUCAAUUAUUAGCUAACAAUGACCAUGAUGGCAGAUUUAUUUUUUUUAUAUUAAAAGGAUCAAAAAAUCAUUGUGGCAUAUGGGAAAUAAAUUUCAGAAGAAUCAGCUUCGUAAAUUCAUGUCCUGAGCUGUUGGUUGCGUUCUUCUGGUAGGAAAAUUCACUUUUAUUACAUGUGGUGCUGGUUACAAUGUUUGCAUUUUAUUUUAAAUAGUCCAUCUCCUUACCUGUUAGGCAGUUAACGGAUAGAAAAUUGGUUUAUAGUAAUAUUAGUCAUAAUAAGAGGAUCAAAUGCUAAUAAAAGUUAAAAAGCAGGAUCAUAAAUGUUCUGAACUGUUAAUUGCGACCAUGUUAUUGGACUGACUUAAGGAAAGAGUCGGCAAAUUUAGCAUCAGAUAAUAUGUGACUUAACUGUGAACCUUAAACUGAACUCCAAUAUAAGGUUCUACAAUUAAAAAAUUGUUAUACAUGAUAAUAACUUCACAAAUACUAUGGACAGGAUAUGGUCGUCGGUGGAACUGGCUCAACCGCCAACACAAUUGAGUUUGCCAUUUCUGAAAUAUUGCGCAACCCCGAUAUCCUGAGGAAAUUACAACAAGAACUAGCUACCGUUGUGGGAAAAGAUAAUAUUGUGGAAGAGUCUCAUAUUCAGGAAUUACCAUAUCUCUAUGCAGUGAUGAAAGAAGUCUUGCGCAUGCAUCCAGCUGCUCCACUACUGGUGCCACAUUGUCCUAGUGAAACAUGCACUGUGGGAGGAUACAUUGUUCCUAAAGGAUCUUGUGUUUUCAUAAAUGUAUGGGCCAUACAUAGAGAUGCUUCUACCUGGAAAAAUCCAACAGAGUUCCUUCCAGAGAGAUUUUUGCAAAAAAACUGGGAUUAUGGUGGAAAUGAUCUCAACUAUUUCCCAUUUGGUUCUGGCAGAAGAAUCUGUGCGGGGAUAGACAUGGCAGAGAGGAUGUUCAUGUAUUCACUGGCUUCACUCAUUCAUUCUUUUGAUUGGAAAUUGCCCGAAGGAGAGACAUUAGACCUUACAGAGAAGUUUGGUAUUUCUUUGAAAAAGAAAAUGCCUCUGGUGGCUAUACCUACUCCAAGAUUGUCCAAUUCAACACUGUAUGAGUAAGAUAAAAAUAUAUCAAUGUUAUGUGCUAAUGUCUUUCAAAGAAUUGUAAGGUAAGGUACUUCAUUAGGAAUUGUAUGGUAAGGCCUAGCCCCCCUUGCUUGUACUUAUCCUUAUUGAUAACUUUUUAUUUUUAAUAAAAGACCGCUAGACACUCCGUUUAGUGAUAAAUUUGGAGGGAAAAAAAUGUCUUUGAUUUAAAUGUAUGCAUCCACUAACAAUCAAUGGACCAGGUCCCCUGACAAAAUAACAGUGUGAAAAAAAUAACUCAAAGUAAAUCAGAUACAAGAAUUUUACGUGAAAACCUCCUUGUUCAAGGGAGGAGAAAACUACUACCUGUCUCACAGGAUUUCACCACAAACUCCAUUCCACUAAAAACGGAGCAACAUUCAGAUUACAAACUCUUUUAACCUAGGAAUUAAAAUCUUAAUCCCUUCCCCCUCACUAUAACAACUCUGUUACAAGGAAAAACUAAGCAAUAACUCUAUUGUCACUAAACCUACUAACUCUCACUACAUGAAAUGUGUGAAUUACAUGGGGAUUUUCUUAGGGAUUGGUAUGAAAAUCCGCAUGAAACUUAAUCUAACAUAUUGUACAUGAUAAAUUUGAUAUAAUUUAUUAUAUGACUUUCAUUGUGCUAUGAACUAAAAAUGAAAACAUACUAAAAGAAAGUUAUAGAGUCCUUUUAGUCUAUCAAUGCUUGCCUUAACAUAGGUACACAAUUGGUUAUAACUAAACUAUAUCAAGAUCUCUUGAAACUUAUCAGUAUUCUUACAACAUAGAGUUCAAAUUUUGCUGGCGAUGAAUCCAAAGAAAGAAACGAUUUUUUUGCUGAAAAAUGAAUGAUGAGCAACAUGCCAAACAAACUUUGCUCCUUUCCAAGUUUCUUAUACUACCAAACAAAGUACUUUCUCUGUUUCAAUUAACAUCACGAGAUUCAGGGUAGGUGACUCUACUUCGUUUUCAUCGUACUGCUCUUUUUGUCUUCAUAUAAAUUAUCUCAACCUUUCAGCAGAAUAAAAAAAAUAAUCUUUAAGCGGUGCAAAUGCUUCAGAUGUCUCUCAAAUUCUUCAAACAACUUUCUGAUUCUUUCUCAUGGCUCCUUCAACAACUCAAUGUUGAGCAAAAGGGUAUAUUUUCCUCCAAUUUCCUUGGUAUAUUAGCUGUACUAUGGCUUCUUUGGUGUUUCAUCAAUAACUCAAACAAGGGACUGUCACCAGGGCCUAAAGCUUUACCCUUGAUAGGUAAUCUCCAUUCUCUUUGUUAUACCCCAUUUUAACCAGGUCAAAAUAGUGUACAACAUUUUGGUGAUUUCUAAAGUUAAUUGACUAAUUUAAGAAGUCGCCACCUAAUUUUUUACGGUGAAUUAGGGCACCUAAAUUGAUUAAAGUCGUUGUCUAAAGUUAACUUCAUUUUAAGGUCUACUAAACUUAAGAUUCUAGGUAAGGGUUCAACUAAUCUAAAGGGAAGGGGUUAGGCAUCCUUUAAGAUCCAUUAAAAAUGGUUAACCGGCCGAACUUAAAUUUAUUAAUUAGGCUAAAUGUAAGAAAGUAAACAUCAAGUUGGAAUGCUAAGUGUACAAUAAUCAAUUUUGGAAAAUUGUUUCACAUGAAAUCUAACUUGUGAAAAUAAAUUUGAAAGUGAAGGUUUUGAAGGCUAACGUGAUUCUUGUUUUAAGAAAAGGAGUUGUUUUGCAAGAAUAAACCUUUUUCUUUUAAAGCCAAACUAACAGAACUUCAAAGUUGGUGGAAGGAAUUACCAUAUAUAAACUUAUAUAAGAAAAACCUGAUUUUAAAAUUAUGAAGUAAGAAAUGUUUUAUAUACUCCAAAAGGCUAUUUUUAAUAACUACUUUUAUUAGUAUUAUUAACUAGUAAAAAAUAACAUUUGUUUUAAGGAAAAAAUGCUACUCAAAAUCAAUACAGAGGGUUCAAUCCUAGUCAAAUGCACACAAAUGCUCACAUUCACAAAUAAAUCAAGUUAUUGAACUCUAGUUAAAAAUAUAAAAUAAGUAAGGCAUAGAAAACAAUUAAGCAUCACAGAAGCAAGAAAAUGUCCACAGCUUCCCUCCCAUUCUUUCAUUCUUUGUUCGUAUGUAUUUGAAAGAGAUCGAAAGGCUGGAAGGAAGAUAGACAUGAGUUUUAGAUCUAGCGGCGGGGUAUCGAGUCUCAAAGCAUGACUCUUGUGACAAGCGAAAGUGUUUAUGAACAUUCCAUUUGUCCACAGCUUCCCUCCCAUUCUUUCAUUCUUUGUUCGUAUGUAUUUGAAAGAGAUCGAAAGGCUGGAAGGAAGAUAGACAUGAGUUUUAGAUCUAGCGGCGGGUAUCGAGUCUCAAAGCAUGACUCUUGUGACAAGCGAAAGUGUUUAUGAACAUUCCAUUCAUGCUCCCAAAGUGUACAUGUAAAAAGAAAAGGAAAAUAAAAAAAUUAAACAAAGUGAUUUAAUUCUUAACAAAUAUUUACAACAAAAUAAGCAAACAAAGUUGUAACAACACACUACAUUACGCUUUUGAUAACAUGAAACAAAGCAACUUUGUACCAUCCAUAACUAAAUGUAUUUGAAGAUGCACCAAAUCAUUUACUAAUUCGAAAUUGAUUUAAAAAGAGACAUCAAACUGUUAACAAAGCAGCCUUUUACUUUCUUACCAUACUAAAGAGAGGUUGUUAUAUCAUGAAAUGAAAAGAUGACUUUAACUAAACUACUGCAAACUUUUCAAGAAUCAAUAUUCAAUAUAGUCACAUUUAAAUCAAAAACUUAGCCAAAACAGAGAUAUUGAACUAAUUAACUAGCUUAGAUACGAUAUCUAAUCACAUACACAAUAUUAAACAAAACAAAUAAAUUGACAAGAACAACCCUUUAGCAAACAGAUUUCAACGAAUACUCAAGAGUUUAGAACUCCCUUUUUAUGAUUAAACAUAAGUAUGCACUGCAAUAAUAGUUUAAAUACGCAUGAUCCAUAAUAGUAUAUCUAAAAUUAAUACUAACUUUCAAACUAAAGCUAUUACAGAGAAGCAUGAGCUCAUGUAUUACUUAUAAAAUUUAAACAAAGAAAAUGGACUACUGUAACCUUCACGGUUCCCAUACUUCAAUAAAUUCUAACAUGAUUUUUAAACAGAUUAAGAACUUAAAUUAAGAAAAUAAAGGAAGAAAAGUUGAGGUUACCGUUUAUGGGGCAGUGAACAUGGGUCGUCGGCAAGGAUCUCCUCUCGUUCCUCCGACAAAGUCGAGCAAAUAGAGACUAGAGUAGUAGAUGAUGAUAUCAAAAUGUAGGAAGUAGUGUUCUUGUGAGUAUUCAAGUUUAUUGAGUGAUUUUUUAAGCCAGCCAGGAAGUCAUCCCCCUGAACUCCAUAAAAAUGAGAAACUUUAUAGAACAUUUUUGAUGUUCAAAGCUUUGUAUUUUGGGCGGGAUUUUUGGAUUUGAAUUUUGAAUAUUGGUCAAAUAGAGUUGUUGUGAAUCUGUCAUCUCUGCCAUAAAGAAUCAAAAUCCAAAAGUUCUUUGGCCUUUUGUGUUGACCAAAUUAAGAGGAGAGAUGAGAAUGAGGGAGGGGAAAGCAACGGUACAUAUCUUUUAGGAGAAAGAGGUGAAGUUACACCAAAAUGGAGUGACCAAUCUUUUAUGAUUUAAACAUUGAUGGAGUUUUAUCUAGAAGUAGAAAUGAUCGGGAGAAGAGAAGGACAACGUUGAUGAAUCUGGGUUAAAGAAUGGUGUCUAAUUAGUUUGAAGUGGGCUGUUGUGUUUGGGCUAGAAAUGGGCCAACGUGGGCUAGAAUUAAUGGGCUGCAUUUUGGAUAGCCUAAUUGGCCGAAAUAGCUUAACACUUUGGGCCUUUUUCUUCUUUGAAUUAAUUCAUUUGAGCUUCUAAUUUACUAACUAGUAUAAAAAUAUAUAUAACGUAAAAAGUUCAGUAAGUAAAAAAAAUUGAAAUAAAGUAACGAAAAUCUAUUUUAAAGAAGACGACAAUAAAGUACUAAUAGUAACAUUGAUAAAAAAUAUAAUUUUGAAAUAGUGAAAAUGAUACUAAAGAUGAUAAUCAUAAAAAUAAUAAAAGUUAAAGUAAUAUAGAUAAUUACGAUAGCAAUAGUGAUAAAUGGAAAAUAAUAGUGAAUUAGAAUCUAUUCGACUUAUUAGUAAUUUAGAAGCUCAACGAAAUAAAUUAGAAGAAAGGAGGGACAAAAUUUGGUGUCAACACUCUUGAUCCUGAAAUUCAUACGUAUUUUGCAUCUCUUUCCCAAACUUAUGGCCCCAUUUGUAGACUCUCUGGCUUGGUAAAAAACUUGGGAUUAUUAUUACUUCUCCUGCCUUAGCUCGCGAGGUCCUUAAGGAUAAAGAUACCAUUUCUGCUAACAGAGAUGUGUCUGCUGCUGGAAGAGAAAUUUCAUAUGGUGGCAAUGACAUACUUUGAAUCCUUAUGGACCGAAAUGGCGCAUGUUUAGGAAGGUUUGUGUUCGCGAUAUGCUUAGUAGUUCUACUUUAGAUUCUGUUUAUGCACUAAGGAGAAGGGAGCUUAGACAAUCGAUCAAUUACCUUUAUAACAAGGCAGGAUCACCUGUGAAUGUUGGUGAACAGAUGUUCUUGACUAUGCUUAAUGUGAUUACAAGCAUGUUAUGGGGUGGCACAGUGAAGGGUGGGGAGAAUUUGUGGGUCACAAGCUUGAUACGUUAUCACUUGUGUGAACCUCCAUUUAUUCCGAGUGAAUUGGUUGAGGUUAUUUCUCUCUAUAUUUUGUACUCUCAUGUUUAUAUAGUGGAUUACUCAUCUCCUUUGUGGAUGUAGGUCGAUUGACCGAACCACGUUAAAAUCUUUUGUGUCUUUGUAUAUUUCUCGUUUGUCUUCUUACUCAUGGUCUUUCGAGGUUUGCUUUGCUAGCUUUAGCGUUACACCUGCUUAUUUAGGUCCUAACACGGAUCAGGUCCCUUGACACAGCAAGAACAAUAAUGAAGAGUAAACAAUGAAGAGAAAACAACACAAACAGUUUAUGUGGAAACCUCCUUGCUCAAGGGAGUAAAACCACGACCUAUCACACAUAAUUUUCACCUGUUUUCACUAAUCUUCUCAAGCAAAAGUGAAACACAGAUUUCACCACCAACGAGAUUAACCUCUUAAUCUCAAUGCUAAGUAAUACACCUAUUACUUACUGAGCCUAAGCAGAUACCAGACUGCCCACUAAGCCAUCACUCCUAGAUAACUUAGACUUUAACUAAGCAGAUACAGCACUGCCCACUAAAUUAACUAGCUCCUAGAUGAUUUAGAAUUUGACUGAGUAGAUACAAUAUUGCCCACUAAAUCAGUUAACUUUAAUUGAUUUAGACCUUUUACAACUAAAACAAACGAAUUGAUUCCUUUACAGAUUAGGAACAGAUUUACAUUAUAAGCACUGAAGUAUGAAUCCUAAGACAACUGUGGCAAAUGCAGCUCUAUCAGGUCCCUGUUGCUUUUUUGGAGAAUACUUCACGAAAAUGGGUCUUUGCUUAUGUACUUGAGAAUUUUCAAGAAGCAAAAACUAAGGUUGUGUCUAUUGAAAUGAACCUUAUAAAAUGAUAGACACAAAGCUCCAACUCAACAAAGACGCUUCAACACUCUAUCAGGUCCCUUUGUUGAGCAUGAGCAUUGUUCUUCCUUGAAGAUGGCCUUUUCUUUUUGAGCUUAUGAAUUUUCAGAAAUACACAACUUUGUUUGCUAAAUCUUGAGUGUAACAUCCGGUAAUUUGAAAUAUCUAUGAAGAGGCUUAAAAAUUGAAAAUAGUCAUUUUUGGAAUAAAAUUGAAAAUCUGGAAAUUUGGCUGUGUGGAAAUCAGUGAGUUUUUGGCCAACUUUGAGCGGUCAUAACUCCUAUAUCAGGAUGAGUUAGGAUUAGUUCCAGUUAUGUUUGGAAAGCCCUUGGAAUGAUCUUUCCAACUCCACCGAGUUUGCUCAAUUCCGAGUUCGUAUGAGCGAGUUAUGCCCUUUGAAAGUUGGGUAGUGGGCAGGGAAUCCGUCCGGAAAUUUAAGGGCAUUUUGGUAUUUUCACAAAUCAUUUCUUUUGAGGUUAUAUUGUUGUGUUAGACUUAUUCUGGAUCAUUUUGUUCCAUUAUAAAAGAGUAAAGAGUUAGGGUUCUUGAGUGAAGAUGAGGAGAAGAGAGAAAGAAGAGAAGAAGAAGAGGAGAUCAAGGAGUUUCCGUCGAAGAUCGUCGUGGAAAUCAUCGGGGGUGAUCCCUAUCAAGGUAUGUGAGUAGUUAGUGUAGGCUGAUUCCUUUCCCCCACACACCAAGCUCAUUUUUUUUAUUUGAGAAAAGAUUGGAUUUGUUGUUGAAGUUGUGGAAGUUGUUGAAGUUGUUAGUUGUUGUUGUUGAAAUUAUUGAUGGUUGUGGGAUAUGAUUGGGUUGUGUAUUUGAGUUGUAAUCUAUUGUAUGUUGAGAGAUUGAUGAUCCUUAGUGUUUGGGGUUAGAUCCAUUGAAGUAAGGAUGGUUUAGAGUUGAAGAAAAGAGGGAGAAAAGUCGAGUUUCUGGGCGAGGGGGUUGGCGCGUCGCGCCUACCAGCGCGCCCCAAAGGGGACUCUGAAAUCCAGCCCUUGGGGCAGCGCGCCUCUCAGAGCGCCAGCAGGCCCCCUCUGAAGUUUUAGGGCUGGCGCUCCGCGCCUUACAGAGCGCCAAGGACACCAAGUGUCCCCUUUCAUUCCAUGCUUUCUCAUGCAUGUUCCUUGGUAUUGUACCUAUAUUUUAUGGUUGUUUCCAACACUCUAAGGUACAUUUAAACCUCCCGAACUCAUCCGUAACAUGUGAUCAAACACUUUGAAUUCAUAAUUCAAUUCAAGGAGGGUUAGAAGUCAAGUGAAGUUAGAAGUCAAGCAAAGUUAAGAAGUUAGUUCAAGCAAGUUUCAAAGUUGUUCAAGAGUCCUUAUUGAACGUUUUCACUUCAUUCUAAGGCUCAAGUCGCAAGUCUAGUAAAGAGUAAAGAGCUUAGAGUUUCAAGCUAAGUAAGAGGUCUCAAGUUUCAAGUUGAGUCAAAAGCUUAAAGUUUUCACUUCAUUUUAAGGCUCAAGUCGCAAGUCUAGUAAAGAGUAAAGAGCUUAGAGUUUCAAGCUAAGUAAGAGGUCUCAAGUUUCAAGUUGAGUCAAAAGCUUAAAGUUGAGUUCAUUUCUCAAAGUCAAAAGCCGUUGAUCCAGCUGAGCACUCUAGAGUCAGUGGUGAGCCUCCUUGCUUCCGGAGGACUCGAUUGUUUUGUUCUUUUAGUUUUGUGUUAUUAGGAUGUUGCAGGGUCUGUCCCAACAUCCCUCUCAGUAUGUUAGAGGCUUCAUAGACAGUCAGUCAGUUAGUAUUGAGUCUCUCAUCUAUGUAUUUAUGUAAAUAUUCUAUUUUGAGACUCGAGUUGCCUUUUUUGCUAGAUUUCAUCAGAUAAGUUAUUUUAUGUCUUUGCAUGGCAUUGAGUUAUUCUGUUGAGUUAAGUUUCUGCUGAGUUAAGAAAGCCAGGCCAAGGGUUCGCUUGGGGCCAGAAAUGGUCUCCGAGUGCCGGUCCCGCCCAGGGUGUAGGCUCGGGGCGUGACAUUGAGUUUGUGUUUUGGAGGAGAGACUAUCAAAAGGACACAAACUCUUUGGGACGAGGCUAUUGGCUGAGAGCCUGCUGUUAUGAAAAGUUAUGCACCAACCACAUCAGAGUUGGCAGCUUUUUGAUAGUUGUCUCUUCGUCCUUUUCUCAUACGCAGACUUUCCGAGACCAGGUCCCUUGCUGCGUUCUUUGAUGCUUGAGUUCUUGAAAAAGACUUGCUAGUUCUCUCUCUUCUUGAAUGAAUAAUGUUGUUUGUUUAUUGCUGUAUAUAUCAGUUACCAACAAAGGUUUUGACCACUUAAACAAACAACUUCGUCCGCCCUUUCUAUUAGUGAAGUACACUGCACAUCUCACCAACCAACCUGACAAGAUAGCUGUAAAGAUAACUUUACAGUUGUGCACCACUUUGAAUCUGGAUGGAAGUACUCUGCCAAGGACCGGGUCCCUGCAUUUGUGAUGAGGAUCAUCUAAUUAAACACCUAGAAUAUAACAUUUUCCCCCUUUUUGAUGAUGACACACAAAUAUUCCUCAUGCUGAGUUUAUUCAUUUAUUUCCCUUUUCGUCAGUCCCAAUACCAGAAGACCCUUUCCUGGAUCUGGUCCCUUGUUGGAUUCCUAAGUUUGUUAAAUCAUCAAAACUUAACCUCAGCUCCAGAAUAACAGAAAUAAUCAAGUAUCAUGCGGAAGCUAGCAAAGCAACCUAGGAAGAUCAUGGGUAAGAAGAUAAAUGAGAAAUAUGUCAAAAGAAACAUAAAUAUUUAACAAGGUUCAGUCAAUUUACCUAAUCCGCAAAAGGAUAUGAGCAAUCCACUAUAUAAAUAAAGAUACAAAAUAUCGAGAGAAAUAACCUCACAAAAUUAACUCAACUUAAAAAGAGGCUCACACUAGUGAUAAUGUACCACUUGUGUCUCACAAAAAUCAUCCCCUAAAUAAAACUCUCAGGACUACAUAGUAGAUGCAACCAAGUUAGAAGCAAUGAGCCUCUUUUUAUAGAAAUAGUUUUGGGAACAUGCUUCGCAUGUUUAUUCCAAAAACUUAAUCUAACAUAUUGUAAAUGAUAAAUUUGAUAUAAUAUAUUAUACUUUCUUUGCGCUGUGAACUACAAAUGAUAACAUACAAAAAGAAUAAAAAUAUAAGUUAUAGAGUCCUUUUAGUCUAUCAAUGUGUACCUUAACAUAGAUACUUAAUUUGGUUACAACUCAACUAUAUCAAGAUCUCUUGAAACUUAUCAGUUAUCUUACAACAACAUAUAUACAAAGACUUUAUGAUGAUGCUAAAAUUUUGUACUAAGUUACCUAACAUAAGGAAAAAAUUGAUUCCCUUAGUCCUCAUACUCUCAUCUUCACUAAUCAUUGAUUUGGUCCUCUAAGGUUUUACAGUUACAAGAGUGACAUUUAUGACAUAGUUUUUACCCAUAAAAUCAUAAUCAAUUAGAUAAUUAACUGGUCACUUUGUUACGAAGACCAUGAGUCCAUGACUCUUUGGGAUCACUGACUAGCUAGAGUCAUUAUUGCAUCAAACAAGAAGUAUAUUUAACAAAAAAAUUAUUAAUUUUACUAUAUAUAUAUAUAUAUAUAUAUAUAAGUUGCUGAGAUGAGGAGAUUGGAGCCAAAAAAAAUUUAAGCAAUUUCAUUUUUGAUGUUAAAAGCAGCAUGAAUCACUUCAAUAAUCAAACUGUCUUCCUGCAAAACAUGGCUUCAGAACUUCCAAAACAUGUCUUGCAGCUCUCCUGACAGUUCAAUGGUAUAAAUUAAUGAACAUCAAAUACUUCUAUAUGUUAGCAUGUUCGAUAGAUUCUAAUAGUUAUAAUGUAAUAGUUAUUUGUGCAAUGAUCAGAGGCGGAGCUAGGUGGGGUUGUGGAUUCGGAUGAAUUCACUAGCUUUUUUGUAGAUCAUGUAAUUGUAAUAGAAAAUUAAAUAAAUAUAUAUGUAUAUUAACUUGUUAACCCCUUAUAACAAAAUUGUUUGACUGCUCAGUGGAAAGGAACGGGAGGUAGAAAUGUCUUUCGCACUAGUAUUGUGGGUUCAAACUCUACCAUCAAUCUUCUGUUUAGAACCUCCAAACUCCUAAUUCUUGCUCCGCCUCUGAUAAUGAUAGUUCAAUUUCUUUCCAUAUGUAGGAGAUAACAGAAAUUAAUGUAGCAUAUUUUCAAUAUAUAAAAUUUAGGAAUAGCAGAUAUUUAGGCAUGUAAAUUAAAAAAAAAAAAUCUCCACUUGAAGCAUUCAUUCAGCAAACCUCACAAAGUAACAUAGCCUAGUGCUUUAAUUCUUAGAGUCAUUCAACUGCUAUUCCUUUAAAAAAAAAUUGAAAGUUUUGGUUUUGUUAACUAUUCGUCAACCGUUAGUCCUAAACAUUUAGGGCUCUUGGUUAAAUAUCGAUUUCCAUUGAAUCAACACAGUAACAGUAUGAAUGGGGACUGGAAAGAUAUCUCUGCUUCUUUUUCAUUGCAUGGGUCCACCAAAUUAGUUUUUAUCUUCAUCGGAAAUAUCUAGUUCCUUUGGCAAAUUAGUCUUCUUUUAAUUAUUGUCUCUAGUUUCUUCGAAAUAGGAGUCUAGUUAACUUUUGAUCUAAAUUUUUGAAUUGAUUCAAUUAGAAUUAUAAUUAGUUUUAAUGCGUUAAUUUUGAAUACUAAGAUCAAUUAGGCUUUUAGCACUUUUCUUGAAAUUUGAGAAUAAAAAUCUCAAAUUUUAUAUAUCUAUCAAUUUAUGUCUUUAAUCUUUAUAAUUUCGCUUGCACAUUAUUUUUUCUUGUUUAUUCAAGUAACUCGAUUCUUAUCAAUCUUAUACUACACAAAUAAGAUAAAAUUAUUUUUUAUAUCUAUGAUGUUAAAUAGAUGAAGGGCAUCUGAUUGGAUAUUUGAGGCCAUGAUGGUGAAAGAGUUGCUGGCGAUAAAUCCAAAAAAAGAAACGAUUUUCUUGCUGAAAAUUGAGUGAUGAACAACGUGCCAAACAAAAUUUUUCUCCUUUCCAAGUUUCUUAUGAGACUAAACAAAGUACUUUCUCCGUUUCAAUUAACGUCACGAGAUUCAGGAGGUGACUCUGCUUCGUUUUGGGCUAUUUAUAUUCAUCUCAUUCUUUCAGCAAAAAAAAAAAUCUUUUAGCAGUGCAAAAGCUUCAGAUGUCUCUCAAAUUCUUCAAACCCCUUUUUGAUUCAUUCCCAUGGCUCCUUCAAGAACUCAAUGUUGAGCAAAAGGGGGUGUUUAUCUCCUAUUUUCUUGGGUUUUUAGCUUUACUAUGGUUCCUUUUGUUUUUCAUCAGAAACUCAAACAAGGGAUUGCCACCAGGGCCUAAAGCCUUGCCCUUGAUAGGUAAUCUCCUCUCUCUUGAUCCUGAACUUCACACCUAUUUUGCAUCUCUGUCCCAAACAUAUGGCCCCAUUUGUAGACUCUGGCUUGGUAAAAAACUUGGGAUUAUUAUUAGUUCACCUGCUUUAGCUCGCGAGGUUCUUAAGCAUAAAGAUACCAUUUUUGCAAACAGAGAUGUGUCUGCUGCUGGAAGAGAAUUUUCAUAUGGUAUCAAUGACUUACUUUGGAGUCCUUAUGGACCGAAAUGGCGAAUGUUGAGGAAGCUUUGUGUUCGCGAUAUGCUUAGUUGUUCUAGUUUAGAUUCUGUUUAUGCACUAAGGAGAAGGGAACUUAGACAAUCGAUCAAUUACUUUUAUAGUCAGAAGGGUUUACCUGUGAACAUUGGUGAACAGAUGUUCUUGACUGUGUUUAAUGUUAUUACAAGCAUGUUAUGGGGUGGCACGGUGAAGGGUGGGGAAAGAGCUAGUCUUGGAGCUGAGUUUAGGCAUGUUGUGACUGAGAUAGUUGAGUUGGUCAGUAUUCCCAAUCUUUCCGAUUUUUACCCGGGUUUGACCUGGUUUGAUUUCCAGGGUGUUAUAAAGAAGAUGAAGGUGGUUUUAAAGAGAUUUGAUAAGAUAUUUGAAAGCAUAAUUGAUCAAAGACAAAAAUUGGACAGAAAUGGUGUUGUCCAAGAAAGCAAAGACUUUUUGCAAGUUUUGCUGAAGUUGAAAGAUGAAGCAGAUCCCAAAAUGCCUCUGACUAUGACUGAAAUCAAAGCCUUACUUAUGGUAUGUUUAUCAGUUGUGCAUUCUACUAAAUUUGUUUUUGUCCAAAUGAACAAAAAAGAAAUCAUCCUCUCCCCAGUUAUCACUGCAUUAUUAUUGAGUAGCCUAGAUGCAACCAUUCAUACCUCAUCUAUAUGGAUUAGUUAUUAGCUUACACAGUUACACUGAUCAUGAUGGCAGAUGUUUUCUUUUUUAUAUUAUAAGGAUCAAAAUCAUUGUGGCAUACGGGAAAUAAAUUUCAGAAGAAUCAGAUUCGUAAAUUCAUGUCCAUUACAUGUGGUGCUGGUUACAAAGUUUGCAUUUUUGUUAUAACAGUCCAUCUCCUUACCAGUUAGGAAGUUAACGGAUGAAAAAUUGGCUUAUAAUGAUAUUAGUCAUUAAUAAGAGGAUCAAAUGCUAAUAAAAGUUAAAAUUAGGAUCAUAAAUGUAUUGAAGAAUUAUUGUGUAAUAAAUAUUAGAUUCGUAUAUUCAUGUUCUGAACUGUUAGUUGCUACCAUGUUAUUGGACUGACUUAAGGAUAGAGUCGGCAAAUUUAGCACCAGAUAAUAUGUGAAGACUUAACUGUGAACCUUGAACUGAACUCCAAUAUACAGUUCUACAAAUCAAAACUUGUUGUACAUGAUAAUAUAUUCACAAAUACUAUGGACAGGAUUUGGUUGUCGGUGGAACUGACACAACCUCCAACGCGGUUGAGUUUGCCAUGACUGAAAUUUUGAACAAACCAGACGUCUUGAGGAAAUUACAACAAGAAGUGGAUACAGUUGUGGGAAAAGAUAACAUAGUGGAAGAGUCUCAUAUUCAACAGUUACCAUAUUUCUAUGCAGUGAUGAAAGAAGUCUUGCGUCUACAUCCAGCUCUCCCACUCUUGGCUCCUCAUUGUCCUAGUGAGACAGUCACUGUUGGAGGAUACACUGUUCCUAAAGGGUCUCAUAUUUUCGUAAAUGUAUGGGCUAUACACAGAGAUCCUUCUAUCUGGAAAAAUCCAACAGAGUUCCGUCCUGAGAGAUUUUUGCACAAUAAAUGGGAUUAUAGUGGAAAUGAUUUCAACUAUUUCCCAUUUGGUUCUGGCAGAAGAAUGUGUGCGGGGAUAGCCAUGGCAGAGAGGAUGUUCAUGUAUUCAUUGGCUUCGCUCAUUCAUUCUUUCGAUUGGAAAUUGCCCGAAGGAAAGACAUUAGACCUUAAAGAGAAGUUUGGUAUUACUUUGAAGAAGAAAAUGCCUCUGGUAGCUAUACCUACUCCAAGAUUGUUCAAUCCAACAUUGUAUGAGUAAGAUAAAAAAAGUAUCACUGUUAUGUGCUAAUGUCUUUUAAAGAUAAAUAUUAAUGAGCAUUGAAUAAUUCUCUCAAGUUUCCUAUUUAUAGAUAACUAGUCCUGGACACGUGCUUUGCACGUAUAUUCCAAAUUAUUAAAAUAAAAUUGUUUACAAUUUACAGAUUUUGAAUAGGAUAAAGGAAGAGAGUAAAAUGUUCUGUGAAUAUUUCCUUACAAUCAUACUCAAAAAUCAAAGUACAUACUGAGUUCUUUUAUUUUUCAAAGAAUAUUUAGUCAUUCUUGAACAACUCGAUGUUUGAUUCAUUAUAAUGACACAAGAAACUGUUAUCAAUUUUUUUUUAAAAAGAAAAUGAUUGUAGUACUUAAAUCAUGACAAACAUGGAAAUAUGAUUCGACUACAAAUAUAGUGAAGCUGGUACUUUACCAAUUGAUCAACAAUAACUUAAAAGUAGUAAGGUUUUUGUGUUUUGUGCCCCUACCUAACAUAUAUUUGUAUCUUUUUCAAUUACAUUUCAUCCUAUAUCUUUUAACAAUUUGCAUCCUAGCCUCUAUAUUUUCCUUCAAAAUCAUAAAAAAGAUGUAUAUUGUAUUGUUAUUUGUAACGACAAAAUAGGGAACAUAAAUUCAAAUAUCCCUCAACUAAUACUACUAUUUUAGUUUCUUAUUUAAAAAUUAAAAACAGAGCAAAUGUAUAUUUGAGUAGAGAAGAAAAACCUCUGGUGACAUCGCAUUUGACGGAAGGAAAAUAUGAACACCUUUAGACUGCAAACGGUCUAUUCCAACUGCAAAAUUUCAAAUCAUUAAUCAAAUUUCAAAAGAACAUCCAAAAAUAUUUUGAGGUUCAUACAUUGAAAGUAAAAAAAAAAACUUAGAAAAAAAUAGAUAAAAUUUGCAGAAGAAAAUGUUUUGCCCGACAAAAGAAGAAAGAUUGGACAGAGAUUAUGUGAUUUGACACUAUGGUGUCAAAUAACGAAGGAUUAAUGAUUAUGAAUGAAUAAAUUGUGUAAUCGACUAUAACUUGAAACUAAGAAAUGUUGAGAAAGGAUUGUAAUCUAAAUUACUAUGCAUUAAAAAAAAUAUGUUAUAGUAAUAAUUAUUGGUAGAUGAACCAAUCAUCCAUAUAACAGGUAGAAGCUUCAAACUAAUAAAUGUUGGAAUGAGAAAAGGUACUUACUAUUAAGAAAUAUGCUACUAUAAUAAUUACCGGCAAAUGAACCAUCUAUUAUUUACUCGGUUUCAGUGCAUCUAAUAUUAUUCACUUGGUUUAAUAAUUAUUAAUAAAUUUUAUAUUUUAAAAUUGUAGUUGUUGGACUUUUAAUGCUACCUUUAUACAAUUAAAAUAUUUAUUAUUUAUUAAGAUUAAAUUUUAAAUGUUUAUUUAGUGUAAAGGAAAAAUGGUAAUUCAGCUUUUCACUUUUGAGCUUCCCACUUUUAAUAAUAUAUGAUGAGUGAUGUUUUCUUCUAAUUAUGACUGAAAUGACUCAGUAUCAUGCGGAAGCUAGCAAAGCAAGAAAACCAUGAGAAGAUAAAUGAGAAAUAUGUCAAAAGAGACAUAAAUAGUUAAAAAGGUUCAAUCAAUUGACCUAAUCCACAAAAGGAUAUGAGCAAUUCACUACAUAAAUAAAAGAUACAAAAUAUCGAGAGAAAUAACCUCAUAAAAUUAACUCAACUUGAAAAGAGGCUCACACAAUUGAUAAUGUACCAUUUGUGUCUCACAUAUUCUCCCUCUAAACAAAACUCUCAAAUUCCUAAUUAGGACUACAUUGUGGAUGCUACCAAGUUAGAAGGAAUGAGCGUCCUUUUAGAGAACUAGUUUUGGGAACGUGCUUCGCACGUUUAUUCCAAAUACUUAAUCUGACAUAUUCUUUGCGCUAUGAACUAAAAAUGAAAACAUACAAAAAGAAUAAAAACUAAGUUAUAAAGUCCUUUUAGUCUGUCAAUGCUUUCCUUAACAUAGAUACACAAUUGGUUAUAACUUAACUAUAUCAAGAUCUCUUGAGACUUAUCAGUUAUCGGUGUUAUUUAAUAAAAUAUUGCAUGCAGGUUUUUAAAUUCUUCUCUUUUAGUACGAAUAAAGAAAGUUAUGGGAAUUAAAAAAUGUAAUUGAAGUUGUAUAAACUACACAUAAAUAUGGAGGCAUGCGUAUAGAUUUAUGGAUAAAUUAUGGGUUAAGGCUAUAAAAUAAAUUAGUUACAUUUAAAUGUCAAUAAUUCCAAUAGAUUAAUACACCCUUACAUAUUUUCUUAAUACUAUUAUUCCAGUAGAUCAUACACCCUUACAAUGUUAUUAAUAAUAACUAUUAUUUAGAAUAUUAUAUUUUUCUAGAAUAUUUUUACCAAAAUAAGUCAUUAUUAAAAUCAAUUCACCAAAAUAAUAUGUUUUUCAAAAUUUUACAAAACUAGCAUAAACGUAUUUCUCAGUAAUGUUUUAGGUUAUAUUUUAUUCAAAAAAAAAAACACAAAGAUCUGACAGAAUAAAUAGACAUAAAACAUUUUUGUCAGUAACGUUUUAUAAUUCGUUACUCGGAGGCACGUUUUACCGCCAAAAUGUGAAUCACAAAAAUGUUUCUCUAGAAUGACUGAAAAUUAAAAUUCAUCUUAUACAUGCCUCAUUCAACUUUUCACUAUUAAAAUGAAUAUAUAUAUUACACAUACAUUCACUUGAAAUAUAUAUGAUUUUCUUUCUUUUUUUUCUCUUUUCAUACAAACAAUACUUUUGCAAGAAAAACGAGAGUGAGGAGGGCUUUACUACAUGAUAUCAAUUAAUUUCUUUGUUUCUUCUAUUAUGAUGUAGCCAUUAUAUUUUUUUAAUAGUUGUUUUUCUUAGUUGUUACAUCAGUUUUAAUUCAAUAGCCUCUAUAUCGAUAAUCUAAUAUUUAAUAAUCAUAAGAAAUUGAUUAGUCUAAUAUUUGGAAGGGAUAGUGCCUUAAGGUUUCUCAUAUGAUUUAUUUACAAAUUUUGAAAUUGAAAGGAUACAAGACACGCUCCAAUCUGUGCAAAGCCUUCCUCAUUUUUUUUCCUUUUGUUGUAAAAAGUAUUGUCUAUGUAUGAAAAGAGAAAGAAAAGAGAAAAUGAUAUAUAUUUCAAGUGAACAUAUGUACAAUAUAUAUAUAUCCAUUUUGAUAGUGGAAAAAAAUUAAAUAAUGAAUGAAACAUGUAUAAGAUUGAAUUUUAAUUUUGAGCCAUUCCAAAGAAAUGUUACUCUGAGUCACGUUUUAGCUGUAAAACGUGUCUCAAAGUAACAAAUUAUAAAACGUUACUAACAAUAAUAUUUUAUGUUUGUUUACUUUGUCAAAUUUUUGAAUUUUUGUCAUAAAUUUUUUUGAAUAAAAUAUAACAUAUUUUGUUGAAUAAAAUAUAAUAUAAAACGUUACUGAGAAAUACGUUUAUACUAAUUUUGUAAAAUUUCAAAAAAGCGUAUUAUUCUGGUGAAUUGAUUUUAAUAAUGACUUAUUUUGAUAAAAAAUUAUCUUUUCCUAUUCCAAUUAUAUCAUUGAUUUGGUCCUCUAAGUUUUCACUGUUACAAGAGUGACAUUUAUGAGAUAGUCUUUACCCAUAAUAUCAUAAUCAAUCAAAUAAUCAACUGGUCACUUUAAUUUGUAACUUACAGAUGAAUAUGAUCAUUUCAUUACUCUUUAGUUUGCAAUUAAGUUAGGAGGUGAAAAGGUUGUAAAAUAUUUUGAUUAAUUAAUAUUUAACUUAUUAGAUAUUUAUCACAUUUUGAAUUAGGAUAGGGGGUAAAAUGGUAUUUCAACUUUUACCUUUGUGGCUUCCCACUUUUAGUAUAACUAAUUUUCGGACAAGCGUCUUACGCGUGUAACCCAAUUUUAUUGACCACAAAAUUUUAAAAAAUUACAUAAAUAUUAGUAUUAAGAAACAUAUUUGAGUUAUAAAUUUUAUACUAAAGAAGAAGUGCAAUUUCUUAAAGUGAUAUUUUAAUCUUACUUGGCGAGCUCUAUAAAAGGAAGAAAUACUUCUCUAAAGAAGUCCUUGGUUUUCUUACUUUGGUUUCUAAUUUGGCAUUUAAUUAGCAAAGUUACUGGACCUUGUUUCUUUUGGUAUAAUGUACAUUCUCUUAUUUACCUAUUGAUUUGGCGAAAAUAACAUUUUUAAAUACCAACACUCAAGCAGAAAGGAGUAGAGAAAUAGAAACAUAUGUUUAUAUUACCUCACAACCAACUAAAAAUACAUUUGGUGUAAUUAUAUUUUUAGUGUCAUGUGUAUUUUUUUUAUUUUUUUAGUGCAUCAAUUAAAUAUUGAAUAAGGUAUAUAUAAUUUUGAUAAAUAAUAUGAUAUGUUUAAACGGUUGGAAGCUGAAAGUGAAGAAAAUAAAUACAUGACACAUUAAAUUUGUAAAUAAAAAGUUCAUAGAAUUUGUACAGGUCUAAAGGUAGAUGAAAUGUCUUUCCAACUAAAUUUAACAGACAAUUAAUUUUUAUAAAAAAUAAAAUGAUAAAUAUACUUUUAAAAACCAUUUUAGUAAUUCAACUUUUGACUUAGACUCUUUUCACUUUUAAUAGAAUGAUCUCGUUGACUUAUAUUACUAAAAUCUAAACAAAAUGAAGCUUAAUUACUCCAUUCUCAUAAUAUUUUUUACAUGAUUUUAAUAUGAGGAAUAGUUUUUAGUAGUAACAAUUAAGGGUCGAAGGAAUUCUUAAAGAAACAAUCAAAAUGUCCAAAAGCAAAAUUGUCAUCAUACCAACCAUUUGAAUUUUAACACUACGAAAAGCUAUCGUAAAUAUUAAUGAUUAUGUUUAAGAAAACUAUUAGGCUUAGUGCCGCAUAAAUGUAAAUGUAACUCUCGUUUUUAUUUGAAAAUUAAAUUGUUAAAUCUCAUAUUGUAUAAAUUGUAGAAAAAUAAAAAAAUUAAACAAAAGGAGUGAAAAUGAACACAUAUGUAUGUGUUUGCAACACUAUGUUAGAUAGACGACAAAGUAACACAAUCAAAAUCUUUCAUUUAAAGUAAUAAUCUUUUAGCAAUCUUUAUUUGAAUUUCUUGUAUUUAAACAAAAACAUAUUGCAUAAACUAUUCAAAUAUUAUCAAACUCAUCAUGUAUUAAUAGAAGCUUUGUCAAUUAAGUAGCACUUAAAAGAAUAAUAACACAAAAAACAAAGAAAUAAAUUCCAUAACAAUGCCAAAUGUUACAGAAUUACAUAAAAGAUGGGUUGCAUACCAAAUUUAUUUUGGACAACCAUACCUCAACUCCAAAAAGGAAAAGAAAAACCUAAAAUCAUAAGCUAACAUAAAAAAAGAUCUAAAGGAAUAUAUAUGUCAUAUCUUAUACUUCUAAGCUUAACACUUGAAUUAUAUUGUAAGAAAAUUUCUCUUUUUAAUUUCAUAAUGAAGCUCGCUGUUCUUUUCCUCAGUUAGCUUUUUGACGACAUGUAUCUAUAUCAUUAUCUAGGAAGAUGAAAAGAGAACAGUAGAUGAUGAAAAAGAAAAGAAAAGAAUAUGAUGAUCUAGGAAAUAAUUUACUGGUAUUUAUAGUGAUAUUUAGUUGUAUUUUCACCUACCAAAUUAAUGGAGCACAUUGAAUCAUGAUACAUAAAAUUUAUUUUGUCACUUAAUUGGAAGAGUCAUUCAUUAUUAAAGUGUAGUUGUUGGACUUCAUAUUCCACCAUUAUGUAAUUAAAAUAUUAGUAUUUAAUAAAUUAAUUAAUUUUAUUUUUAUUUAGUGGAGGGGUAAAAUGGUAAUCCACCUUUGAAAGUUGGAGCUUCCCACUAAUAAUAAUAUAUGAUAUAUGAUGACUAGUAUUUGGACACGUGCUUUGCACGUGUAUUCCAUGUUAAUUUGUUCAAAUUUUUUCAUUGAGAUGGAGGGAGUAUAUAAUAGUUAAAUAUAUUAGUUUUAAAAAAUGCAAGUUUAUUCUUACUAAAAUAAAGAAAUUAAAACACAUAUCAAUCCUCUCUUUACAUAUAAAGUAGAAACAACUGUUAAAAAGUAUAACAAAAAUAUUUGAAUGCUAAAAUUAAAAUAUUAAAUGCCGAAAUAAUAAUAUAUGUGUCUAAACUUUCAUAUACAAUGAUACAUAAAUAUUGUGCAUUACAAUAAAUUUGUGUUGAACUUUGUUUAGUGAAGUUGAUGUUACUGGCUAAUCAAACUCUAGACGCCAAUAGCUCUACAUACUUCCCAUCCUCUCAAAUUGUUGCUUUCUCUUAAAUAACAAAAAAGAAGAUGAAAUUAGGAUCAAUAUCCAUUACAUUGAAUAAUUAGGCGAAAAAACUUGAAUUUUAUUAAUACUGUAAGAUUAUUAUAACAUCACAAUAAAUUAUAUAGCUUCAUAUGUACAUUAUGUUCUUCCCACAAAUAUUCGAAAAUAAGAUGAAAUAGAGUAGACUAAAAGCAAUAAAAUAGCUAAUGAAUUCUAAAACUUUUAAAUAACAAAAAAUAAUGAGAGAAAUAAUUCCAAAUGUAAAAGAAUGGAGGAACUUUCUCAAGAACUAACAAAAGCAUAAAUAGAUUUAUCUUUUAUUUGUUGCAUAUGUGAUGAGCAAUUACAUUCAUCAACAAUCAUAUUGUAAUAUUUAUAUAUAUAUGGGGUUAAAUAUUGAAGUUUUCUUAUUCAGCAAAGAAGAUGAAGGGUAUCUGAUUGGAUAUUUGAGGCCAUGAUUGUCAAAGACUUCAAAUUUUACUGGCGAUGAAUCCAAAGAACGAAAGCAUUUUUUUGCGGAAAAUUGAAUGAUGAACAACAUGAAAAUCCUACCAUGCAAAGUACUUUUUCCGUUUCAGUUGACAUCAUGAGUUUCAGGAGGUGACUCUGCUUCUUUUUCAUCCUACUGCUCUUUUUUUCUUCAUAUAAAUUAUCUCAUUCUUCCAGCAAAAUCAGAAAGAUAAAAAAAAAAUCUUUUAGCAGCGCAAAAGCUUUAGAUGUCUCUCAAAUUCUUCAAACUCCUUUUUGAUUCUUUCCCAUGGCUCCUUGAACAACUCAAUGUAGAGCAAAAGGGUGUGUUUUUCUUCUGUUUUCUUGGUUUUUUAGCUUUACUUUGGUGUUUCAUCAGUAACUCAAACAAGGGACUGCCACCAGGGCCUAAAGCUUUGCCCUUGAUAGGUAAUCUCCAUUCUCUUGAUCCUGAACUUCACACCUAUUUUGCAUCUCUUUCCCAAACUUAUGGCCCCAUUUGUAGACUCUGGCUUGGUAAAAAACUUGGUAUUAUUAUUACUUCCCCUGCUUUAGCUCGUGAGAUUCUGAAGGAUAAAGAUACCAUUUUUGCUAAUAGAGAUGUCCCUGCUGCUGGAAGAGAAUUUUCAUAUGGUGGUAAUAACUUACUUUGGGCUCCUUAUGGACCGAAAUGGCGAAUGUUGAGGAAGGUUUGUGUUUGCGAUAUGCUUAGUUGUUCUACUUUAGAUUCUGUUUAUGCACUAAGGCAAAGGGAGCUUAGACAAUCGAUCAGUUACUUUUAUAACAAGGCAGGAUCCCCUGUGAAUGUUGGUGAACAGAUGUUCUUGACUAUUCUUAAUGUGAUUACAAGCAUGUUAUGGGGUGGUACAGUGAAGGGUGAGGAAAGAGCUAGUCUUGGAGCUGAGUUUAGGCAUGUUGUGACUGAGAUGUCUGCGCUGUGCAGUAUUCCCAAUCUUUCCGAUUAUUACCCAGGUUUGGCCUGGUUUGAUUUCCAGGGUGUUACAAAGAAGAUGAAGGUGCUGGUAAAGAGAUUUGAUAAGCUAUUUGAUAGCAUGAUUGAUCAAAGACAAAAAUUGGACAGAAAUGGUGUUGGCCAAGAAAGCAAAGACUUUUUGCAAGUUUUGCUGAAGUUGAAAGAUGAAUCAGAUGCCAAAAUGCCGCUAACCAUGAUUGAACUCAAAGCCUUACUUAUGGUAUGUUUAGCAGUUGUGCAUUCUACGAAUUUUGUUUUUUUCCAAAUGAAUCAAAAAUAAUUAUUAUUGAGUAGCCAAGAUUGCAUUUGUGAUAUUAGUCAUAAUAAGAGGAUCAAAUUUAGCGUUGGAUAAUAUAUGAAGACUUAACUGUGAAUUAAGACGGUAAACCUUGAACUGAACUCCAAUUAAAAAAUUGUUGUACAUGAUAAUAACAUCACAAAUAUUAUGGACAGGAUAUGAUUAUUGGUGGAACUGACAGUACCUCCAAUACGAUUGAGUUUGCCAUGGCUGAAAUUAUGAACAAACCAGACGUCCUGAGGAAAUUACAACAAGAACUGGAGGCAGUUGUGGGAAAAGAUAAUAUUGUGGAUGAGUCUCAUGUUAAGCAAUUACCAUAUCUUUAUGCAGUUAUGAAAGAAGUCUUGCGCAUACAUCCAACUGCUCCAGUAUUGGUGCCACAUUGUCCAAGUGAAACAUGCACUGUGGGAGGAUACACUGUUCCUAAAGGAUCUUGUAUUUUCAUAAAUGUAUGGGCUAUACACAGAGAUCCUUCUAUCUGGAAAAAUCCAACAGAGUUCCGUCCAAAGAGAUUUUUGGACAAUAAAUGGGAUUAUAGUGGAAAUGAUUUCAACUAUUUCCCAUUUGGUUCUGGCAGAAGAAUCUGUGCGGGGAUAGCCAUGGCAGAGAGGAUGUUCAUGUAUUCACUUGCUUCACUCAUUCAUUCUUUCGACUGGAAAUUGCCUGAAGGAGAGACAUUAGAAGUUACAGAGAAGUUCGGUAUUAUUAUGAAGAAGAAAAUGCCUCUGGUGGCUAUACCUACUCCAAGAUUGUCUAAUCCAAAACUGUAUGAAUAAGAUUAAAAUGUGUUUGUAGAGAGUCGUGUUCUGUAUGAUGAUUCUGUCUUCUUCUUCUUUUUUGAGAAAAUGAUGAUUCUGUCUUUUGUAUGAUGAAUUAUGGGUUCCAUUUGAACUUAAUUCAAACAUUUCUAUGCAGCAAAAGGAACCCUUAUCUUCUCUCUUGGUGAAAAUUCUCUCAACCAUUCUUAUGUACUAAUGUCUUUCGAAAUGAGCAUUGAAUAAUUCGCCCAAGUUUCCAAUUUAUAGAUAAUGAGUGAUGUUUUCUCUUAAUUAUGACCGAAAUAAUCAAGUAUCAUGUGGAAGCUAGCAAAGCAAACUCGGAAGACCAUGAGUAAGAAGAUAAAUAAGAAAUAUGUCAAAAGAGACAUAAAUAUUUAACGUGAUUCAGUCAACAUGUGCCUCAACAGGAUCAUUGACUAGCUAUAUAUUAGUUAUACACUCUAUAGUACUAAACAGGGUACACAAAAUAAAAAACUGUGUGAAUCACUUCAAUAAUCAAACUAUCUUCCUGUAAAACAUGGUUUCAGAACCUCUAAAACGAGUUACGUCUUGCAGCUCUCCUGACAGUUCAAUGGUACAAUUAAUAAACAUCAAAUACUCCUAUGUUUUAGCAUGUUCAAUAGAUUCUAAUAGUUGUAAACUUGUAAUGUAAUAACUCUAAAUAUUUGUGUAAUGAUAGUUCAAUUUCUUUUCAUAUGUAGGAGAUAUCAAGAAUUAAUAACUUUAGGGUGUAAAUAACAGAUUUUUAGGCAUGUAAAUCGAAAUUCUGUCUCCACUUGAAGCAUUCAUUCAACAAACCUGACAAAGUAACAGCCUACUGCUUUAAUUCUUAGAGUCAUUCACUUGUGAUUCCUUUAAAAAGAAAAAAAUUUAAAAGUUUGGUUUUUUUAGCGAUUCAUCAACAGUUAGUCUUAAAUAUUUAGGGCUCUUGGUCUUGAUUAAAUAUCGAUUUCCAUUGAAUCAACAUUGUAACAGUAUGAGUGGGGACUGGAAAGAUAUCUCUGCUUCUUUUUCAUUGUAUGGGUCCGCCAAAUUAGUUUUUUUUCUUCAUCGGAAAUAUCUCAUUCCUUCGGAUAAUUAGCCUUAUACUAAUUAUUGUCUCUAGUUUCUUUGAAAUAGAGGUCUAGAUAACUUUUGAUCUAAGUUCUUGAAUUGACUCUAUUAUGAUCAUAAUUAGUUUUAAACUGCUAAUUUUAAAUAUUAAAAGAUCAACUAGGGUUAUUAACAAUUUUCUUGAAAUUUGAGAUUUUAUUCUCAAGUUUCUCAUAUCUUCCAAUAUCUAUCUUUAAUCUUUAUAAUUUCACUUCCACAUUAUUUUCUUGUUUAUUCAAGUAACCCGAUUUUUUUCAAUCUUAUACUACGUAUAUGGUAAAAUUAUGUUUUAUAUAUAUAUGGUGUUAAAAAUUGAGUUUUUCUUGGUCUUCAAAGAGGGUGUUGACAGAGAUAUCUGCUGGCGAUGAAUACAAAGAAAGAAAGCAUCUUUUUUUGCUGAAAAUUGAAUGAUGAACAACAUGCCAAACAAACUUUGCUCCUUUCACGUUUCUUAUGAUACUAAACAAAGUACUUUUUCCGUUUCAAUUAACAUCACGAGAUUCAGGGGAGGUGACUCUGCUUCGUUUUCAUCGUACUGCUCUGUUUAAAUUCAUCUCAUUCGUUCAGCAAAAUUAUUAAAAAAAAAUCUUUAGCAGUGCAAAAACUUCAGAUGUCUCUCGAAUUCUUCAAACCCCUUUUUGAUUCUUUCCCAUGGCUCCUUCAACAACUCAAUGUUGAGCAACAGGCUGUGUUUUUCUCCUGUUUUCUUGUUUUUUUAGCUUUACUUUGGUUUUUCAUCAGUAACUCAAAUGAGGGACUGCCACCAGGGCCUAAAUCUUUGCCCUUGAUAGGUAAUCUCCAUUCUCUUGAUCCUGAACUUCACACCUAUUUUGCAUCUCUGUCCCAAACUUAUGGCCCCAUUUGUAGACUCUGGUUUGGUAAAAAACUUGGGAUUAUUAUUACUUCACCAGCAUUAGCUCGUGAGGUUCUUAAGGAUCAAGAUACCAUUUUUGCUAACAGAGAUGUGCCUGCUGCUGCAAGAGAAAUUUCAUACGGUUGCAAUGACAUACUUUGGAAUUCUUAUGGACCAAAAUGGCGAAUGUUGAGGAAGGUUUGUGUUCGCGAUAUGCUUAGUUGUUCUACUUUAGAUUCUGUUUAUGCACUAAGGAGAAGGGAGUUUAGACAAUCGAUCAAUUACUUCUAUAGUCAGAAGGGUUUACCAGUGAACGUUGGUGAACAGAUGUUCUUGACUGUGUUUAAUGUUAUUACAAGCAUGUUAUGGGGUGGUACGGUGAAGGGUGGGGAAAGAGCUAGUCUUGGAUCUGAGUUUAGGUAUGUUGUGAGUGAGAUGGCUGCGCUGUGCAGUAUUCCCAAUCUUUCCGAUUUCUACCCAGGUUUGGCCUGGUUUGAUUUCCAGGGUGUUACAAAGAAGAUGAAGGUGUUG
rnacentral:lncRNA from 1 species